AGUUAGUGGCGGACGGGUGAGUAACGCGUGGAAAACCUGCCGUAUACUGGGGGAUAACACUUAGAAAUAGGUGCUAAUACCGCAUAAGCGCACAGCUUCGCAUGAAGCGGUGUGAAAAACUCUGGUGGUAUACGAUGGUUCCGCGUCUGAUUAGCUAGUUGGUGGGGUAAUGGCCUACCAAGGCAACGAUCGGUAGCCGGCCUGAGAGGGUGAACGGCCACAUUGGGACUGAGACACGGCCCAAACUCCUACGGAAGGCAGCAG
rnacentral:rRNA from 1 species